AUACGGAGGGUGCAAGCGUUACUCGGAAUCACUGGGCGUAAAGCGCGCGCAGGCGGCUUGAUAAGUUGGAUGUGAAAGCCUACGGCUCAACCGUAGAACUGCAUCCAAAACUGUCAGUCUAGAGUCUGGGAGGGGAAGAUGGAAUUAGUUGUGUAGGGGUAAAAUCCGUAGAGAUAACUAGGAAUACCAAAAGCGAAGGCGAUCUUCUGGAACAGUACUGACGCUGAGGCGCGAAAGCGUGGGGAGCAAACAGGAUUAGAAACCCGAGUAGUCC
rnacentral:rRNA from 1 species